rnacentral:rRNA from 1 species
GCAUAUCAAUAAGCGGAGGAAAAGAAACUAACAAGGAUUCCCCUAGUAACGGCGAGUGAAGCGGGAAGAGCUCAAAUUUGUAAUCUGGCGUCUUCGACGUCCGAGUUGUAAUCUCGAGAAGUGUUUUCCGCGCCGGACCGCAUACAAGUCUGUUGGAAUACAGCGUCAUAGUGGUGAGAGCCCCGUAACUGAUGCGGAUGCCCGGUGCUUUGUGAUACACUUUCGAAGAGUCGAGUUGUUUGGGAAUGCAGCUCAAAUUGGGUGGUAAAUUCCAUCUAAAGCUAAAUAUUGGCGAGAGACCGAUAGCGAACAAGUACCGUGAGGGAAAGAUGAAAAGCACUUUGGAAAGAGAGUUAACAGUACGUGAAAUUGUUGGAAGGGAAACGAUUGAGGUCAGACUUGCUAUUCGGAAUUCAGCCGCAAGGUGUACUUUUCGAUUUGCAGGCCAGCAUCAGUUUUCGGGGGYGGAAAAGGGUAAGNWGAAGGUAGCAGUUUCGGCUGUGUUAUAGCUUCUUACUGGAUUCRUCUUUGGGGACUGAGGAACGCAGCACGCUUUUAGCGAGACYUUCGGGUCUUUCGUGCUUAGGAUGCUGGUGGAAUGGCCUUAAACGACCCGUCUUGAAACACGGACCAAGGAGUCUAACAUGCUUGCGAGUGUUUGGGUGUCAAACCCGAACGCGCAAUGAAAGUGAAUGGAGGUGGGAUGCGCAAGCAGCACCAUCGACCGAUCUGGAUUUUUUAAGAUGGAUUUGAGUAAGAGCAAUUAUGUUGGGACCCGAAAGAUGGUGAACUAUGCCUGAAUAGGGCGAAGCCAGAGGAAACUCUGGUGGAGGCUCGUAGCGGUUCUGACGUGCAAAUCGAUCGUC